rnacentral:rRNA from 1 species
NNNNNNNNNNGGAUUCCCCUAGUAACUGCGAGUGAAGCGGGAAAAGCUCAAAUUUAAAAUCUGGUGGUCUUAUGGCCGUCCGAGUUGUAGUCUGGAGAAGUGCUUUCCGCGCUGGACCGUGUACAAGUCUCUUGGAACAGAGCGUCAUAGAGGGUGAGAAUCCCGUCUUUGACACGGACUACCAGUGCUUUGUGAUGCGCUCUCAAAGAGUCGAGUUGUUUGGGAAUGCAGCUCAAAAUGGGUGGUAAAUUCCAUCUAAAGCUAAAUAUUGGCGAGAGACCGAUAGCGAACAAGUACCGUGAGGGAAAGAUGAAAAGCACUUUGGAAAGAGAGUUAAACAGUACGUGAAAUUGCUGAAAGGGAAACGCUUGAAGUCAGUCGCGUUGGCCAGGACUCAGCCUUGCUUUUGCUUGGUGCAUUUUCUGGUUGACGGGCCAGCAUCGAUUUUGACCRUUGGAAAAAGAUUAGGGGAAUGUGGCACCUCCGGGUGUGUUAUAGCCCUUAGUCACAUACAGUGGUUGGGAUCGAGGACCGCAGCACGCCUUUAUUGGCCGGGGUUCGCCCACGUUCGUGCUUAGGAUGCUGGCGUAAUGGCUUUAAACGACCCGUCUUGAAACACGGACCAAGGAGUCUAACAUGCCUGCGAGUGUUUGGGUGGAAAACCCGAGCGCGUAAUGAAAGUGAAAGUUGAGAUCCUUGUCAUGGGGAGCAUCGACGCCCGGACCUGAACUUCGGUGAUGGAUCUGCGGUAGAGCAUGUAUGUUGGGACCCGAAAGAUGGUGAACUAUGCCUGAAUAGGGUGAAGCCAGAGGAAACUCUGGUGGAGGCUCGUAGCGAUUCUGACGUGCAAAUCGAUCGUCAAAUUUGGGUAUAGGGGCGAAAGACUAAUCGAACCNNNNNNNNNNNNNNNNNNNNN